AGGCAGGCGGGGGAACUGCCCUUUAGUGGGAAGCUAACAUUUCUUUUUUUUUUUUUUUUUUUACCUUAAGCCUUACUAGCCCUUAAACGGGCUUAUGCCAUUCUGCGAAUGACUAAGCAGAGCCCAGAGGGAAGCGGCAGCUUGCUUUGAUGGAGAAACAUAUUCAAGACGUAAUUUGUGAACAUCUGCUCUGUGCCAGGCCCUGGGCUGAGUUGCUGAGGAUUCCAUGGUGAGGGAGCUGUCGCCUAUAAACCUUUGCCCGCUGACCACAGCUCCAUCCCGAAAAAUUCUGGGUGAUGAGUACAAAUACCUAGCAUCUUUAUGUUCUAGAGUUGUUACGCUUUAUUUCCUGAGUUGUUUGGGGGUCUUUGUGGACAGCCUACAAUGUAGUCACUAGGUUCAAAACGAUGUAGCUAAGCCACAUCUCCUUCCUCUCUUGCCGUGGUGUCCUCAGCACAGAGUAACUGUUCAAUAAAUGAGAGCCAUUGUUAACACAGUGAUAAAUACUAUUGUUAUUUUUACUGCU